rnacentral:rRNA from 1 species
GAUGAACGCUGACAGAAUGCUUAACACAUGCAAGUCUACUUGAACUUCGGUUUGGGUGGCGGACGGGUGAGUAACGCGUAAAGAACUUGCCUCACAGUUAGGGACAACAUUUGGAAACGAAUGCUAAUACCUGAUAUUAUGAUUUUAGGGCAUCCUAAAAUUAUGAAAGCUAUAUGCGCUGUGAGAGAGCUUUGCGUCCCAUUAGCUAGUUGGAGAGGUAACGGCUCACCAAGGCGAUGAUGGGUAGCCGGCCUGAGAGGGUGAACGGCCACAAGGGGACUGAGACACGGCCCUUACUCCUACGGGAGGCAGCAGUGGGGAAUAUUGGACAAUGGACCAAAAGUCUGAUCCAGCAAUUCUGUGUGCACGAUGACGUUUUUCGGAAUGUAAAGUGCUUUCAGUUGGGAAGAAAAAAAUGACGGUACCAACAGAAGAAGUGACGGCUAAAUACGUGCCAGCAGCCGCGGUAAUACGUAUGUCACAAGCGUUAUCCGGAUUUAUUGGGCGUAAAGCGCGUCUAGGUGGUUAUGUAAGUCUGAUGUGAAAAUGCAGGGCUCAACUCUGUAUUGCGUUGGAAACUGCAUGACUAGAGUACUGGAGAGGUAAGCGGAACUACAAGUGUAGAGGUGAAAUUCGUAGAUAUUUGUAGGAAUGCCGAUGGGGAAGCCAGCUUACUGGACAGAUACUGACGCUAAAGCGCGAAAGCGUGGGUAGCAAACAGG